rnacentral:rRNA from 1 species
AGUGAACGCUGGCGGUAGGCCUAACACAUGCAAGUCGAACGGCAGCACAGUAAGAGCUUGCUCUUACGGGUGGCGAGUGGCGGACGGGUGAGGAGUACAUCGGAAUCUACUUUUUCGUGGGGGAUAACGUAGGGAAACUUACGCUAAUACCGCAUACGACCUACGGGUGAAAGCAGGGGAUCUUCGGACCUUGCGCGAUUGAAUGAGCCGAUGUCGGAUUAGCUAGUUGGCGGGGUAAAGGCCCACCAAGGCGACGAUCCGUAGCUGGUCUGAGAGGAUGAUCAGCCACACUGGAACUGAGACACGGUCCAGACUCCUACGGGAGGCAGCAGUGGAGAAUAUUGGACAAUGGGCGCAAGCCUGAUCCAGCCAUACCGCGUGGGUGAAGAAGGCCUUCGGGUUGUAAAGCCCUUUUGUUGGGAAAGAAAAGCAGCAGGUUAAUACCCCGCUGUUCUGACGGUACCCAAAGAAUAAGCACCGGCUAACUUCGUG